rnacentral:rRNA from 1 species
UACGUAGGGGGCAAGCGUUGUCCGGAUUUAUUUGGGCGUAAAGGGUGUGUAGGUGGCGCCGUAAGUCGGGUGUGAAAUUUCGGAGCUUAACUCCGAAACUGCAUUCGAUACUGCGGUGCUUGAGGACUGGAGAGGAGACUGGAAUUCGAUGGUGUAGCAGUGAAAUGCGUAGAGAUCAUGAGGAAGACCAGUGGCGAAGGCGGGUCUCUGGACAGUUCCUGACACUGAGGCACGAAGGCCAGGGAGGCAAACGGG